CCUACGGGAGGCUGCAGUGGGGAAUAUUGGACAAUGGGGGCAACCCUGAUCCAGCCAUGCCGCGUGUGUGAAGAAGGCCCUCGGGUUGGAAAGCACUUUCAGUGAGGAAGAACGCCUGGUGGUUAAUACCCAUCAGGAAAGACAUCACUCACAGAAGAAGCACCGGCUAACUCCGUGCCAGCAGCCGCGGUAAUACGGAGGGUGCGAGCGUUAAUCGGAAUUACUGGGCGUAAAGCGCGCGUAGGUGGCUUGAUAAGCCGGUUGUGAAAGCCCCGGGCUCAACCUGGGAACGGCAUCCGGAACUGUCAAGCUAGAGUGCAGGAGAGGAAGGUAGAAUUCCCGGUGUAGCGGUGAAAUGCGUAGAGAUCGGGAGGAAUACCAGUGGCGAAGGCGGCCUUCUGGACUGACACUGACACUGAGGUGCGAAAGCGUGGGUAGCAAACAGGAUUAGAUACCCCAGUAGUC
rnacentral:rRNA from 1 species